rnacentral:lncRNA from 1 species
CAGCUUUUAGCCAGUUUCCAUCUACCCCACAGCCAUAAACCUGCUCCCUAAUCCCCAUCCAGAUGCACAGAGAAGGUUUGGAAUGCAUGUUUUCCCUGAAGAAGUGUGGCCAGGCUGGCAGUUCCCAGUGUGGGGCAGAAGCACAGACUGGCAGGGGUGGAGAUGUCCAGCAGGCAUGGCCAUGCCCAGGACAAGCAGCAGUGACGUAAAGUGGAAUGGAGCAGAGGUGCCCACAUGCAGAAGGACAGAGGUGCCCACAUGCAUCAGAGUGUCCUCUGGAUGCAGAAGCAGAAGGACAGAGGUGCCCACAUGCAUCAGAGUGUCCUCUGGAUGCAGGAGCUGUGACCAGAGAAACACCAGUGCCCACUGAGACAGAAGGACAGAGGUGCCCCACAGAGUCAGCAUUUGGAGCCAAGGGCCAGCAAAAGAGGCUGGGAGCCUGGAGACACCAUGUGGUGGCUGAGUGGACUUGGGCUUAAGCUCCUAGAGGGUUCCCAGAAACAGGUACAGAAGGUUCUGCCAGGAGCUGAAGACUUGCUCUGGCUGGUGGCGAGUGGACUGACUGCUGUCCAAGUCAUCUGGGUUUUAACCUAGCCUGCCCAAGGAAUUCUGGGGUAUUUGUCAAUAUCCUAAUCUCCUUGGGAUAAAGCCUGCUUUGACACAUGCCUUGAGCACUCAUCUCUCUCUCUCCCUCUCUCUCUCUUUUUCCUCUCUCUCUCCUGUCUCUCUGUCUCUGUCUCUGUCUUUCUGGGGUUUUGUCUAUCUCUGUCUUUGUCUCUAUCUCUCCAUCUCCAUGUGUGUCUCUGUCCGUCUUAUUCUCCCUGCCUCCAUUCCCACACAAUGCCUGACUCAUUCUGGGCAUUUGACCAAUAUUUUUUGACUUCAUAUUAUGUAAAAUUUCACACACACACAAAAGCAGCAGAAUAAUAUAAGGACCCCUCCUGUCCACAUCACCCAGUUUUAAUGAUCAUGGACAUCUUCACCCACUAUCACCCCCCCCAAAAAAUAAUCUAUUUUGAAACAAGCUCAGACAUCACCCAUAAAUAUUUCAGAUGCCUCUAAACAAUAAGGACUCUGUAAAAACCAUAACCACAAUUCCACUAGCACAGUCAUA